UCAGUCGGCCGGGCGGCCGCUCCGGGCCGCGAGGCUCCGGGGAGGAAAGUCCGGGCUCCAUGGAGAGACGGUGCCGGAUAACGUCCGGCGGGGGCGACCCCAGGGACAGUGCCACAGAGAGCAGACCGCCACGGAUCGGCUUCGGCCGGCCCGCGGUAAGGGUGAAAGGGUGCGGUAAGAGCGCACCGCGGACGCGGCAACGCGGACGGCACGGCAAACCCCACCGGGAGCAAAACCGAAUAGGGGCGACACGGCGGGCCUCACGGUCCGCCAGGCCCUCUCUCCAGGCCCGUCGCCCGGGUUGGUUGCUCGAGGCGGUCGGCAACGAUCGUCCCAGAGGAAUGGCCGCCACGUCCGGGGACCGCGAGGUCUCCGGGCCCUACAGAACCCGGCUUAUAGGCCGGCUGAUCCC
rnacentral:RNase_P_RNA from 2 species